UGUUUGUGUGUUUGUAUGUGUGUGUAGUCAUAUGCUUGUCUCAAAGCUUAAGCCAUGCAAGUGUAAGUUCAUGCCGUAAACGAAUGGUAAAACCACAAA